UGGCUCUCGCAUCGAUGAAGAACGCAGCGAAAUGCGAUAAGUAAUGUGAAUUGCAGAAUUCAGUGAAUCAUCGAAUCUUUGAACGCACCUUGCGCUCCUUGGUAUUCCGAGGAGCAUGCCUGUUUGAGUGUCAUUAAAUUCUCAACCUCGCCAGCUUUGCGGUUGGCGUCAGUGUUGGAAGUGAGGGUUUCUGCAGGUCUCUUCAGAGUCUGCUCCCUUGAAAUGCAUUAGCGGCGCCUUUGCGGUGAUUGGCUAUUUGGUGUGAUAACUAUCUACACCACUAGACAACAUGCCGACCUCGUCUGCUUCUAAUCGUCCAUGGACAAGCUUAAAUGACAAUUUUGGCCUCAAAUCAGGUAGGACUACCCGCUGA
rnacentral:misc_RNA from 1 species